AUGGGAAAACGGCAUUUUAAAAUUUCUGCUGUUCAGCCAGAUCUAAUAAAAAUACUGGUCAGGUAUUUUUAUCAAAAACCCCAAGAAGAAGGCCUAUGCAGAAUAGUAAAUUGUUCACUUGAAAUUGAGAUCUUCAAGUACAAGAACUCAAGUAAGCAAGAACAGUUGAAUUUCCUACUGGUAAAGCAUUGCAAAAGGAAUUCCUACCCUUCUGAGAGAAUGCAUCAACAAAUAAUAUGAUAGAAGCGUGAUGUGGAAUAGGAAAGAAAAUUAGAGUAACUUGAAAGAUCAAUGUAGUGUGACUUGAGGGAGAAUGCACUGCAUUCAAAAGCUGAUCUAAGUUCAUCCCAACCAUUUAACCCAUGCAAUAACAGAUAUCAUCCAUAAAAAAUCCUUGCUUCCUACAUAUUUCUUGGUCCAUUAUGGCUGCCAAAUCACUCCAACACUCAAGUAACUUGAACAUUUUCAAAUUAAACAUAAUUCUCAUUAUUACUGAAAUCUUCAAUAAUUAAAGUUUCCUAGUUUCUUUUUCAAUUUCUAGAUAAGAGAGAAAUCAGAUGUGAUUAACAUAAGAAAAAUUGCUCUUAGAUUUUUUAAUGACGACUGACUAUGAUGGAGGAACCGUAAUUUGAGGUGUACAGAUGGAAAGCUGUGAAGUGUGAAGAUUCUAACAGUUUUCUGACAUUACUAGAAGACCAAAGUGUAAUUAUAAAAUCCACUACUUACUCACUACUUUUACAUCCAAUUUCCCAAUAUUAAGAAAUGCCUUUUGAUACAACUUACUCCUAAGUCUUAGCUCAUCCACAUAUAAAAUGCCUCCCAUGAGAAUGCCCUUAACCAUCUUCUUGCAUUGGCUUUCUGAGCCACUAAAAUGAGAUUUUUUUUUUCUGACACAGUGAUCCACCUUCAACAAGGAAUGUGAGACAAUCCAAACCAAAGUAGCUUAUAGUCUGGCACCUGGGAAGUAGGAAAUGCAAGUUUGUAUCUCCUAAAAUUGAGGAGGAAAUUAAUCCCAUGUCUCUUCUUUCCCUGGCAAUGUUUGAAUCAUUAUUGCAUUUUUUUAAAAAGAUAGGCAUCAACAACACAUGAUGAGCCCUUUGAAGACUAUUAGGUACAUAUCCUCAGAACUUUGGAUCUCAAGUAGAUAGAUGAGCCUUCCUGAUGUCUUGAGUGAAGCACCUAAAUAUCAAUGACAUUUAGAGAUUUGCUUUUGAGAAAUGGCUUGGAAGUAAAGUAGAUUAUUGCAUUAAAAUAAUGGUCCAGGAGAAUGGCAAUAGUUAGUUGGUUUCUAAAAGGCUGUUUGUGAUAAAGUUUCCUUCAAGACCUACUGUGUCUGAAGCCAGCACACACAUAGGCUGGGAAAUUGAAGGCAUGUAACACACUGUUCCAGAACAUGAACUAUGUACCCAACUAGAGAUAAGGGACUCUGCAGCAUUGGCGCCAGGUCACAUUGCCCAUCUCAAGCCUUGGGAUUUCCUGUUUUCAUGAACAGACCAAAUUAGGAGGCCCAGUAAAUAACCAGACUAAUGUAUGUUUGUGAUGGAUUUUUGGGAAACAAAGGAACAUGCUGACAGAGCAGAACGUGAACAUAUGAUGGCCGCAAGGAAACCAAUCUACAGUGCCUGGAAAUGCAAAGUCAGAGUGGGGAGAAAAAUGCAAAAAGGAGGAAUUUCAGAGCAUCAAAGGGUCUCUAAGAGCAGACCCCAAGAUGACUAUGGACAGAGGGAACAAGACCAGCCCUUCUCACUCACCCCACUGUGAGGGGUGGGCCUCAGCCUUCAACCUCCAUGCUGCUGACAUCUGACAUUCAAGAAAGAACCUCAGGGUGAAGCUCAAGUACUGGCCAGUUGUACCUUCCAUCUGUGAUGGCCCUAGGACUGCUAGAUGUAGAAUCAGGGAGCAGGGGGUGUUAUUUUAUUUUUGCCUUGCCUGCAUUAUUCCUAUCUGUUAUCACUUUAAUAAAAU
rnacentral:lncRNA from 1 species